GGGGAGUUGUCCAGGGUCGCCAUCAUUAAUGGCUGAUAUCCCAGGCCUUGACCACACACUCUGAGGCUGUGUCUCAGGGGGAGUUGGGAUGUGCAAAAAAUAAAUUUCCAAUUCACAUGUGUAAUAAUACAGUCUUGUACAUGUGUGAAAUAGAAUAAAUAAACCCCCACCUAAUUAUUCUUAUUAAUAAGAUUGAAGAGCAACGGCACUUUGGUACACAGUCAAUAGGUUACAUAGCUGAGGGGAUGGAUACGAAGCAGAACAGUAGCUCUCUGCUUCCCCUCCUAUCAGAGAGAAUAAAUCAUUCCAACCACACUGAUAACAGAAAGCCUGUGGUCUUGCUCUCUGGUUUCAAACAAACCCCUCCAGUAUUCACAUAACGGACAGCUUUCUUCCAAAAUGAUAAUACACACAGAAAGUCCAGUUGUAUAAACUCUACUCUGAAUGUUUUGUAUUUUUAUAUAAAGGCCCAGUGCAGUCAAAAACGUGAAUUUCCUGUGUUUUACCAUCCAGUUUAAUAGGUACAACACCAUGUUCACAAAAGUGGAUCACAACGGCAGCAGACACAACGGGCAGCAGACACAAGGGGCAGCAGACACAACGGCAGCAGACACAACGGGCAGCAGACACAAGGGGCAGCAGACACAACGGCAGCAGACACAACGGGCAGCAGACACAACGGCAGCAGACACAACGGGCAGCAGACACAACGGCAGCAGACACAACGGGCAGCAGACACAAGGGGCAGCAGACACAACGGCAGCAGACACAACGGGCAGCAGACACAACGGGCAGCAGACACAACGGGCAGCAGACACAACGGGCAGCAGACACAACGGCAGCAGACACAACGGGCAGCAGACACAAGGGGCAGCAGACACAACGGCAGCAGACACAACGGGCAGCAGACACAACGGGCAGCAGACACAACGGGCAGCAGACACAACGGGCAGCAGACACAACGGCAGCAGACACAAGGGGCAGCAGACACAACGGGCAGCAGACACAACGGGCAGCAGACACAACGGCAGCAGACACAACGGGCAGCAGACACAACGGCAGCAGACACAACGGGCAGCAGACACAACGGGCAGCAGACACAACGGCAGCAGACACAAGGGGCAGCAGACACAACGGGCAGCAGACACAACGGCAGCAGACACAAGGGGCAGCAGACACAACGGCAGCAGACACAACGGGCAGCAGACACAACGGGCAGCAGACACAACGGGCAGCAGACACACGGGCAGCAGACACAACGGGCAGCAGACAACGGGCAGCAGACAACGGGCAGCAGACACAACGGGCAGCAGACACAAGGG
ensembl:lncRNA